GGAUUACACUUUCAAUGCCAAAUACACAUGUAUUGGAAAAGAAAUAGAUAAAUGGAUGACUAGGUAACACAGCAGAUUCAGCCUGCCUGAGGAGAACAGAAAGAAAUGGUGAAUUGAAAACUUUCAGAGCCAGGGUUUGACAUCAGCAGAACAGAACAGAAGCAAAGAGCAGGGUACGCUAGGAUUCUCUCAGCUCAAUGUGGACCAAAGAUCAUGCAGACAGUGGCCUGAAGGCAAUCGGAAUUCAGUAGCAUGCAUACAACAGAAGCUUCUAGAAAUUCGGAUAAGUUAUGAGCACAACGUAUUUUGUG